GUUAGGUUAUGACAGGAGCAGCACUGCAGCCACAAGCCAUGGCAGUCGUGGCCCGGGGAUCAUUCCAAGUCUAUUUACAGCAGCAACAUUAAACCAGCCCUGCCAACAUCCUCCCUGUGCUUGGGCCACGCUGGGGCUGGUCACCUCUGAGGGCAGCCCCCAGCCUCAGUCCAACAUCCUUUUCUCCAUCAGCAACUAGAACGUUGCACUGGUGAGCGCUUCCAGGCUGGUACCAGGUCUCACCAUGGGGAAGGGCACUGUGUCUGGGCUUGUGCAGGUGGUGGAUGCAGAGACUGGCAAGGUGGUCAUCAUCUCUCAGGACCUCGUUCAGGUGAAGGUGCUGCUGCUUGGAGCCGUGAGGAUCCGCAGCCCCAUCAUGCAGAUAAGGAUGGGCACCCAGCUGGGGAAGAAUUGGAUACAUCUCCCACUGCUUGAAGGAGGCAGCACAGCUUCUGGGGGCAUUCCCAGUGCUGGCACCCCGCUGGUCACCAGGCCUGACUUCUCCCCACCGAUGUCCAUCUAUAUCACCUGGAUCACCAACCACCAGAACCCUUUCUCCUUUGGCAAUGCCAUGCCAGGCCUGACCUUCCACUGGUCUGUCACCAAGCGGGACAUCCUGGAUCUCCAAGGGCAGCAUCACAAGAUGAGCCAUUAAGUCCAGCCCACAUUCAAGGGGAGAGGAAGUAAGCAUCACCUCAGGCACAGAAGAACAGAAAGAAGUUGUGUGCAUAUCUUUAAGACAACCACAUACCAGGAACUGCUUUUUUUUGGUAUAGAAACUAUCUUUUUAAAAAUUUACCCUUGACAUUUGGAAACUUCAUCCAGCUAUGUCUGAUUUGCAAAUUCAGGUAUAUCUUUAAAAUAAUUUUCUUUGAU